rnacentral:lncRNA from 1 species
UUAGGAUCAUAUUUCCUCGGGAUCCAUUAAACAUAAGUAAACAAAAUUUAAAAUGUAUUUUUCAUAAAUAUUAAAUUUACAAAGAUUCGUACAUGAUCGGCUGAGAUCGUUGUUUUACGCAUUAAGCCAUAUUUCUGGAAAAUUUAGAAGACAAAACUUAGUUCAGUGUAACUGGAUAUUGAUCUACCAAAUUAGUUAAAUGACUUUAGGUUAAUCUCUAAGGGCUAGAUAUGAUGAGUGGUUGGUUAAAGUUAAAUUACUUAUUUGUGAACUUCUGGACUGGAAGAAAGCUGAUAAAUGUAUAAAUUCUGUUCAACAGUGAAAAUAUUAAAAUACUUUUAAUUUGAAAAUUCUGUGUUGUUUUUAAUUUAAUAUGCAACAAAUAACCAGCCA